GACGAACGCUGGCGGCGUGCUUAACACAUGCAAGUCGAACGGAAAGGCCCUGCUUUUGUGGGGUGCUCGAGUGGCGAACGGGUGAGUAACACGUGAGUAACCUGCCCUUGACUUUGGGAUAACUUCAGGAAACUGGGGCUAAUACCGGAUAGGAGCUCCUGCUGCAUGGUGGGGGUUGGAAAGUUUCGGCGGUUGGGGAUGGACUCGCGGCUUAUCAGCUUGUUGGUGGGGUAGUGGCUUACCAAGGCUUUGACGGGUAGCCGGCCUGAGAGGGUGACCGGCCACAUUGGGACUGAGAUACGGCCCAGACUCCUACGGGAGGCAGCAGUGGGGAAUAUUGCACAAUGGGCGGAAGCCUGAUGCAGCAACGCCGCGUGCGGGAUGACGGCCUUCGGGUUGUAAACCGCUUUCGCCUGUGACGAAGCGUGAGUGACGGGAAUGGGUAAAGAAGCACCGGCUAACGACG
rnacentral:rRNA from 1 species